rnacentral:ncRNA from 1 species
CGGCCAGCACUAGAUGUAUGCUCGUCCUCGCUGUCGUCGCAGGGGAAUCCGGUGGAAAUCCGGAACUGUCCCGCAACGGUGCAUGUAUGCCGUAAUGACGCAUGCAGGAGUCCGAGUACCUGCCGACAGCACGCCCACCGC